rnacentral:lncRNA from 1 species
UCAGAAACAUGAAAAGCUUGUCAGCUCCUCUUGAGGUGUACAUAUCAUUUAUGGUGAAUUUCUGGGGUCACCUUUCUCCAUGCAGACAUGUGGGCAUGUUUGGACAUGAAUGAUUGGUUGGACAAGGAUUGAUCCGUGAUGGAACUUUGCAUGCAUCAGGGAUAUAUAAGUUGGAGCAACAGCCAUGGUACGGUCAUGCACACACAGUUUCACUUACCUCACACCCUUUUGGCCAACAGUCAUGGUCAUAGCCAGCUUGUACUUCUGGAAGGUUAGAUCCUCUGUAACAGUUCACACCUUAGCUGCUUUCCAGCUGUCAAGCAGCAAGCGGUUAUAUUGGUCCAGUUGCACAAGCAAUCUUCAAGCAUUGGACAGGAUUGACUUCAAUGCCUGCAUAUACACAACGAAGACACAGUCAAUGCAUGCACGGUAUUCUCAC